AGAGUUUGAUCCUGGCUCAGAUUGAACGCUGGCGGCAGGCCUAACACAUGCAAGUCGAACGGUAGCACAGAGGAGCUUGCUCCUUGGGUGACGGGUGGCGGACGGGUGAGUAAUGUAUGGGGAUCUGCCCGAUAGAGGGGGAUAACUACUGGAAACGGUAGCUAAUACCGCAUAAUCUCUCAGGAGCAAAGCAGGGGAACUUCGGUCCUUGCGCUAUCGGAUGAACCCAUAUGGGAUUAGCUAGUUGGUGAGGUAAUGGCUCACCAAGGCGACGAUCCCUAGCUGGUCUGAGAGGAUGACCAGCCACACUGGAACUGAGACACGGUCCAGACUCCUACGGGAGGCAGCAGUGGGGAAUAUUGCACAAUGGGCGCAAGCCUGAUGCAGCCAUGCCGCGUGUAUGAAGAAGGCCUUAGGGUUGUAAAGUACUUUCAGUUGGGAGGAAGGCGUUGAUGCUAAUAUCAUCAACGAUUGACGUUACCAACAGAAGAAGCACCGGCUAACUCCGUGCCAGCCGCCGCGGUAAUUC
rnacentral:rRNA from 1 species